rnacentral:rRNA from 1 species
AGCAGUGGGGAAUAUUGCACAAUGGGCGCAAGCCUGAUGCAGCCAUGCCGCGUGUGUGAAGAAGGCCUUCGGGUUGUAAAGCACUUUCAGCGGGGAGGAAGGCGAUGAGGUUAAUAACCUUGUCGAUUGACGUUACCCGCAGAAGAAGCACCGGCUAACUCCGUGCCAGCAGCCGCGGUAAUACGGAGGGUGCAAGCGUU